AGCAGCCGCGGUAAUUCCAGCUCCAAUAGCGUAUAUUAAAGUUGUUGCAGUUAAAAGCUCGUAGUUGAAUUUCGGGAUCAGUUGAUCGGUCGUGCCUCGGUACGUACUGGUCAAAUUGAUUCCUACCUUCUGACGAACCACGAUGUCAUUAAUUUGGUGUCGUGGGAAAUCAGGACUGUUACUUUGAAAAAAUUAGAGUGUUUAAAGCAGGCUCGCGCUUGAAUACAUUAGCAUGGAAUAAUGAAAUAGGACGUUUGAUUCUAUUUUGUUGGUUUCUAGGAUCGACGUAAUGAUUAAUAGGGAUAGUUGGGGGCAUUAGUAUUCAAUUGUCAGAGGUGAAAUUCUUGGAUUUAUUGAAGACUAACUACUGCGAAAGCAUUUGCCAAGGAUGUUUUCAUUAAUCAAGAACGAAAGUUAGGGGAUCGAAGACGAUCAGAUACCGUCGUAGUCUUAACCAUAAACUAUGCCGACUAGGGAUCGGAUGAUGUUAAUCUUUUAAUGACUCAUUCGGCGCCUUACG
rnacentral:misc_RNA from 1 species